rnacentral:lncRNA from 10 species
CCCCCACCCACCUCUAUCCCAGUGUCUCCGUCUGAGGGUUUGUCCUGUUAAUGCGGGAUGAGCGAUCAGAAGAAGGAGGAGGAGGAGGAGGCGGCAGCGGCAGCGGCGAUGGCUACAGAAGGAGGGAAAACCUCUGAGCCAGAGAAUAACAAUAAAAAACCCAAAACCUCAGGCUCCCAGGUAAAAGCAAACAAAUUAAAAAAAUUCAUCACGACACAUUAGGAGAGAGAGGGAGUUAUGCCCUUUGAAUGUCCAGAAGUAACAGAAUAAAAUGUUUAUCCACUCAAA